rnacentral:rRNA from 1 species
UACGCAGGGUGCUAGCGUUGUUCGGAACCACUGGGCGUAAAGCGCACGCAGGCGGAUCGAUAAGUCGGGGGUGAAAGCCCGGGGCUCAACCUCGGAAUUGCCUUCGAUACUGUCGGUCUCGAGUCCGGGAGAGGUGAGUGGAAUUCCUAGUGUAGAGGUGAAAUUCGUAGAUAUUAGGAAGAACACCAGUGGCGAAGGCGGCUCACUGGCCCUGUACUGACGCUCAGGUGCGAAAGCGUGGGGAGCAAACAGG